rnacentral:rRNA from 1 species
UACGGGAGGCAGCAGUAGGGAACCUUCCGCAAUGGACGAAAGUCUGACGGAGCAACGCCGCGUGAGUGAUGAAGGUUUUCGGAUCGUAAAGCUCUGUUGUUAGGGAAGAACAAGUACCGUUCGAAUAGGGCGGCACCUUGACGGUACCUAACCAGAAAGCCACGGCUAACUACGUGCCAGCAGCCGCGGUAAU